rnacentral:rRNA from 1 species
ACUAAGCGUACACGGUGGAUGCCCUGGCAGUCAGAGGCGAUGAAGGACGUGCUAAUCUGCGAAAAGCGUCGGUAAGGUGAUAUGAACCGUUAUAACCGGCGAUGUCCGAAUGGGGAAACCCAGUGNCACUAUCGUUAACUGAAUACAUAGGUUAACGAGGCGAACCGGGGGAACUGAAACAUCUAAGUACCCCGAGGAAAAGAAAUCAACCGAGAUUCCCCCAGUAGCGGCGAGCGAACGGGGAGCAGCCCAGAGUCUGAAUCAGCUUGUGUGUUAGUGGAACGGUCUGGAAAGUCCGACGGUACAGGGUGAUAGUCCCGUACACCAAAAUGCACAGGCUGUGAACUCGAAGAGUAGGGCGGGACACGUGGUAUCCUGUCUGAAUAUGGGGGGACCAUCCUCCAAGGCUAAAUACUCCUGACUGACCGAUAGUGAACCAGUACCGUGAGGGAAAGGCGAAAAGAACCCCGGCGAGGGGAGUGAAAAAGAACCUGAAACCGUGUACGUACAAGCAGUGGGAGCACCUUCGGGUGUGACUGCGUACCUUUUGUAUAAUGGGUCAGCGACUUAUAUUCUGUAGCAAGGUUAACCGUAUAGGGGAGCCGCAGGGAAACCGAGUCUUAACUGGGCGUUAAGUUGCAGGGUAUAGACCCGAAACCCGGUGAUCUAGCCAUGGGCAGGUUGAAGGUUGGGUAACACUAACUGGAGGACCGAACCGACUAAUGUUGAAAAAUUAGCGGAUGACUUGUGGCUGGGGGUGAAAGGCCAAUCAAACCGGGAGAUAGCUGGUUCUCCCCGAAAGCUAUUUAGGUAGCGCCUCGUGAAUUCAUCUUCGGGGGUAGAGCACUGUUUCGGCUAGGGGGUCAUCCCGACUUACCAACCCGAUGCAAACUACGAAUACCGAAGAAUGUUAUCACGGGAGACACACGGCGGGUGCUAACGUCCGUCGUGAAGAGGGAAACAACCCAGACCGCCAGCUAAGGUCCCAAAGUCAUGGUUAAGUGGGAAACGAUGUGGGAAGGCACAGACAGCCAGGAUGUUGGCUUAGAAGCAGCCAUCAUUUAAAGAAAGCGUAAUAGCUCACUGGUCGAGUCGGCCUGCGCGGAAGAUGUAACGGGGCUAAACCAUGCACCGAAGCUGCGGCAGCGACACUAUGUGUUGUUGGGUAGGGGAGCGUUCUGUAAGCCUGCGAAGGUGUGCUGUGAGGCAUGCUGGAGGUAUCAGAAGUGCGAAUGCUGACAUAAGUAACGAUAAAGCGGGUGAAAAGCCCGCUCGCCGGAAGACCAAGGGUUCCUGUCCAACGUUAAUCGGGGCAGGGUGAGUCGACCCCUAAGGCGAGGCCGAAAGGCGUAGUCGAUGGGAAACAGGUUAAUAUUCCUGUACUUGGUGUUACUGCGAAGGGGGGACGGAGAAGGCUAUGUUAGCCGGGCGACGGUUGUCCCGGUUUAAGCAUGUAGGCUGGUUAUCCAGGCAAAUCCGGAUAAUCAAGGCUGAGGUGUGAUGACGAGGCACUACGGUGCUGAAGUAACAAAUGCCCUGCUUCCAGGAAAAGCCUCUAAGCAUCAGGUAACAUCAAAUCGUACCCCAAACCGACACAGGUGGUCAGGUAGAGAAUACCAAGGCGCUUGAGAGAACUCGGGUGAAGGAACUAGGCAAAAUGGUGCCGUAACUUCGGGAGAAGGCACGCUGGUGUGUAGGUGAAGCCCCUGCGGGUGGAGCUGAGACCAGUCGAAGAUACCAGCUGGCUGCAACUGUUUAUUAAAAACACAGCACUGUGCAAACACGAAAGUGGACGUAUACGGUGUGACGCCUGCCCGGUGCCGGAAGGUUAAUUGAUGGGGUUAUCCGUAAGGAGAAGCUCUUGAUCGAAGCCCCGGUAAACGGCGGCCGUAACUAUAACGGUCCUAAGGUAGCGAAAUUCCUUGUCGGGUAAGUUCCGACCUGCACGAAUGGCGUAAUGAUGGCCAGGCUGUCUCCACCCGAGACUCAGUGAAAUUGAACUCGCUGUGAAGAUGCAGUGUACCCGCGGCAAGACGGAAAGACCCCGUGAACCUUUACUAUAGCUUGACACUGAACAUUGAGCCUUGAUGUGUAGGAUAGGUGGGAGGCUUUGAAGCGUGGACGCCAGUCUGCGUGGAGCCAACCUUGAAAUACCACCCUUUAAUGUUUGAUGUUCUAACGUUGGCCCCUUAUCGGGGUUGCGGACAGUGUCUGGUGGGUAGUUUGACUGGGGCGGUCUCCUCCCAAAGCGUAACGGAGGAGCACGAAGGUUAGCUAAUCCUGGUCGGACAUCAGGAGGUUAGUGCAAUGGCAUAAGCUAGCUUGACUGCGAGCGUGACGGCGCGAGCAGGUGCGAAAGCAGGUCAUAGUGAUCCGGUGGUUCUGAAUGGAAGGGCCAUCGCUCAACGGAUAAAAGGUACUCCGGGGAUAACAGGCUGAUACCGCCCAAGAGUUCAUAUCGACGGCGGUGUUUGGCACCUCGAUGUCGGCUCAUCACAUCCUGGGGCUGAAGUAGGUCCCAAGGGUAUGGCUGUUCGCCAUUUAAAGUGGUACGCGAGCUGGGUUUAGAACGUCGUGAGACAGUUCGGUCCCUAUCUGCCGUGGGCGCUGGAGAAUUGAGGGGGGCUGCUCCUAGUACGAGAGGACCGGAGUGGACGCAUCACUGGUGUUCGGGUUGUCAUGCCAAUGGCACUGCCCGGUAGCUAAAUGCGGAAGAGAUAAGUGCUGAAAGCAUCUAAGCACGAAACUUGCCCCGAGAUGAGUUCUCCCUGAGACUUUAAGUCUCCUGAAGGAACGUUAAAGACGAUGACGUUGAUAGGCCGGGUGUGUAAGCGCAGCGAUGCGUUGAGCUAACCGGUACUAAUGAACCGUGAGGCUUAACC